GAGGAUCAAAGUCAAUGUUGUUC
rnacentral:siRNA from 1 species